UACGGAGGGUGCAAGCGUUAUCCGGAUUUACUGGGUUUAAAGGGUGUGUAGGCGGACUUUUAAGUCAGCGGUGAAAUCUCCGGGCUCAACCCGGAAACUGCCAUUGAUACUAUUGGUCUUGAAUGUUGUUGAGGUGGGCGGAACGGGUCAUGUAGCGGUGAAAUGCAUAGAUAUGACCCGGAACACCGAUUGCGAAGGCAGCUCACUAAGCAAUGAUUGACGCUGAGGCACGAAAGCGUGGGGAUCAAACAGG
rnacentral:rRNA from 1 species